AGUAACAUCCGGAAACGGGUGCUAAUACCGCAUAGUUUUCUUGAUCGCAUGAUUGAGAAAGGAAAGAUGGCCUUUGUGCGUGUCGCUUAUGGAUGGACCCGCGGCGUAUUAGUUAGUUGGUGAGGUAACGGCUCACCGAAGACGAUGAUACGUAGCCGACCUGAGAGGGUGAUCGGCCACAUUGGGACUGAGACACGGCCCAAACUCCUACGGGAGGCAGCAGUAGGGAAUCUUCCGCAAUGGACGAAAGUCUGACGGAGCAACGCCGCGUGAGUGAAGGAAAAGGGUUUUUCGGAUCGUAAAACUCUGUUGUCAGAGAAGAACAAGUUGGAGAGUAACUGCUCCAGCCUUGACGGUAUCUGACCAGAAAGCCACGGCUAACUACGUGCCAGCCGCUGC
rnacentral:rRNA from 1 species